GACGAACGCUGGCGGCGUGCCUAAUACAUGCCAGUAGAACGCUGAAGAGAGGAGCUUGCUCUUCUUGGAUGAGUUGCGAACGGGUGAGUAACGCGUAGGUAACCUGCCUGGUAGCGGGGGAUAACUAUUGGAAACGAUAGCUAAUACCGCAUAAAAUGGAUUAUCGCAUGAUAAUCCAUUGAAAGGUGCAAAUGCAUCACUACCAGAUGGACCUGCGUUGUAUUAGCUAGUUGGUGGGGUAACGGCUCACCAAGGCGACGAUACAUAGCCGACCUGAGAGGGUGAUCGGCCACACUGGGACUGAGACACGGCCCAGACUCCUACGGGAGGCAGCAGUAGGGAAUCUUCGGCAAUGGACGGAAGUCUGACCGAGCAACGCCGCGGGAGUGAAGAAGGGUUUCGGAUCGUAAAGCUCUGUUGUAAGAGAAGAACGAGUGUGAGAGUGGAAAGUUCACACUGUGACGGUAUCUUACCAGAAAGGGACGGCUAACUACGUG
rnacentral:rRNA from 1 species